rnacentral:siRNA from 1 species
AUUAGGUCUCGUCUACCA